CCUACGGGGGGCUGCAGUGAGGAAUAUUGGUCAAUGGACGAGAGUCUGAACCAGCCAAGUAGCGUGAAGGAUGACUGCCCUAUGGGUUGUAAACUUCUUUUAUAUGGGAAUAAAAUGUUCCACGUGUGGGAUUUUGUAUGUACCAUAUGAAUAAGGAUCGGCUAACUCCGUGCCAGCAGCCGCGGUAAUACGGAGGAUCCGAGCGUUAUCCGGAUUUAUUGGGUUUAAAGGGAGCGUAGGUGGAUUGUUAAGUCAGUUGUGAAAGUUUGCGGCUCAACCGUAAAAUUGCAGUUGAAACUGGCAGUCUUGAGUACAGUAGAGGUGGGCGGAAGUCGUGGUGUAGCGGUGAAAUGCUUAGAUAUCACGAAGAACUCCGAUUGCGAAGGCAGUUCACUGGACUGCAACUGACACUGAGGCUCGAAAGUGUGGGUAUCAAACAGGAUUAGAUACCCUUGUAGUG
rnacentral:rRNA from 1 species